UCUGGGUGUAGUGGUGCACACCUGUACUCCCAGCAGUUUGGAGGAUGAGGCAGGAGGAUCACAAGUUUGAAGCCAGCUUCAGCAAUUUAGUGAGACCUUAAGCAACUUAGUGAUAUCCUGUCUCAA
rnacentral:sRNA from 1 species